UUAAUAAUUAACAAGAAAAAUUAUUAAUUAAUAACUAUAUAACAUUUAGCACAGAAAAGGUGGGGGCAUUACUAACGCCCACUACACAUAACGUAUCUAUAUAAGUUCAACAUAUCGCGUCCAACAACGGGGAGGAGGGUGGGUAAUUCUCUUCCAUCCAAUUUCUUGAUGUGAACUGCACUGUGCAGCCUUCGUGGAAUAGGAAAGAACAGAUAGCCCGCUUCACCACUGAUAAAUACCGAAAUUUCCAGUCACGUGACUAUACCUAAAUUAACUUGCGCGCGCAAAUUACUUAUUUCGCAUAAUUAAUUUCAACCAUAAAUUAUUCCGGGAAGCAAUAAAAACUCUUAUCGCUGUGGCAAUAAGUUCCUUUAUCGCUUCCCUACAUAUAUUAAACCACCAUCGGCAAACUGUUUGUCAGGUUGAGCUCGGUUUUCUGUGCUGCCGAAUACUACGAGACCAGUCAAAGCCUUUAUGGCAUAAUUAUGGCUUAUGUGCCCGGUUGUUGGCACAUAGCCGCUUUAUUGUUUUAAUCAAUUUUUAAUAAUUAACAAGAAAAAUUAUUAAUUAAUAACUAUAUAACAUUUAGCACAGAAAUGGUGGGGGCAUUACUAACGCCACAAGUCUCCUUGGGAUAAAGGAGACACACCCCACCCCAACAUGACAAAUCGUUUGCAGAUGAUCGUGAAAAAUAUCUACAUAUACUGAUACCACAUGUUACGAAAACCUCAAUCUAGGUCAGUUUCACUGCACAUGCUAUUGUCAGUCAAAAGCAAUGAACUUGCACUGGUCUACAUAAUAGCAGUACUAUCAAUUACCUAGUUGACUAUAUACCUCGCUAUAUACUAUAUACAAGCCUCUACUGAAAUAAAUAUGAUCAGCUGAAAUGUGAACUUUACCCCUGUGUCAGUUCAAUAUCCAACCGAUCACGAAUACGUG